UUGAAUGCAAAAUCUUCUUCCCAAAUAUAUACAUGUAAGAAGUUAAGAACCAUUUUAUGAUUUUCUCAUUGGAUUCACUAAAAAGAAAAUAUUCAAUUGCUUUUCUUAGCUAGCACAUCUUCUUUGCCAUUUGAAGCUCUCACAAUAUAUCAUUUGAAUGUUUUCCAACGACAUUAGCACCUCUGUCUUGAUGUUUCUCAAUUACCAAGAAGUGAGCAAGUCUGUUAGAGGAUAGAAAGGCACUAUAAGCCUCAGAUAAUAGUGAAAUUUUCUAAACUAUUGGAUUACAUAAGUUUUUUAUUUUGGUCGAGCUACCUAUGAUUUAGUUUUGCAUUAGUUGUUACCAUGCGAAUUAUUGAUGAUAAUUUUGACCUUUAUUGAUAAUGCUCAUAGUUUCUAAUACCAAUGGCAAGAAAUAUCAUUUCCCUUAUUUUUCAAAGAGACACUUAUAAAAUUACUUAACUAAGAUUUUAGUUUGAAUUUUAAAGGUCAAAUCCAACCAUCAACUUGUCCAACAAGUGUACAUAAAAUUAAAAUCUCCCAGAUUGAUUGUUCCAUUUUUAUUUCAAAGUGGUUUCCAUUUUCGAACAUACUUUGUCAUUCUCAAUCAACUAAGUUUUUUGUUUUCAAAGUCUUCAAGAAAGAACGGAACCCAUGGAGAAGAAUCCUCAAUUUCGUCCCUCUGACACUGAUAUGAUAAUGCAACUGUUAAAAUUUGUGGCUGGAAAAUGCUUACCAACUGAAGAAUUGAUUGUCUUUGCAGAUG
rnacentral:lncRNA from 1 species